CGUGUGUGAUGACACCUUGGAAAUGCUGUAACCUCCCGACUGCGCUAUGGGGGAGACAACCUUGGAGAGCUGAGCGUGCG
rnacentral:snoRNA from 1 species